rnacentral:tRNA from 1 species
GCCCUUGUAGCCCAAUCGGCAGAGGCACACGACUCAAAAUCGUGACAGUGUGGGUUCGACUCCCACCAAGGGCA